rnacentral:rRNA from 1 species
CGCCAGCUUUAUACAUGCAAGUCGAACGGCAAGUUGAAUAGCAAUAUUUGACCUAGAGUGACGUACGGGUGCGUAACACGUAUGCAACCUACCCAUAACAGGAGGAUAGCUCCCCGAAAGGGGAAUUAACCCUCCAUAGUAAUAUUGAAUGGCAUCAUUUGAUAUUUAAAACUCCGGUGGUUAUGGAUGGGCAUGCGUCUGAUUAGUUAGUUGGCGGGGUAACGGCCCACCAAGACGAUGAUCAGUAGGGGAACUGAGAGGUUGAUCCCCCACACUGGCACUGAGAUACGGGCCAGACUCCUACGGGAGGCAGCAGUAGGGAAUAUUGGUCAAUGGAUGGAAGUCUGAGCCAGCCAUGCCGCGUGCAGGAAGAAGGCCUUAUGGGUUGUAAACUGCUUUUGCCAGGGGAUAAAAUAGCUGUGCGCAGCGAAUUGCAGGUACCUGGUGAAUAAGCCACGGCUAACUACGUGCCAGCAGCCGCGGUAAUACGUAGGUGGCAAGCGUUGUCCGGAUUUAUUGGGUUUAAAGGGUGCGUAGGCGGCCCUGUAAGUCAGUGGUGAAAUACUCCAGCUUAACUGGAGGGGUGCCAUUGAUACUGCAGGGCUUGAGUGGAGUAGAAGUAGGCGGAAUUGACGGUGUAGCGGUGAAAUGCUUAGAUAUCGUCAAGAACACCGAUAGUGAAGACAGCUUACUAUGCUUCAACUGACGCUGAGGCACGAAAGUGUGGGGAUCAAACAGGAUUAGAUACCCUGGUAGUCCACACUGUAAACGUUGAUGACUCGCUGUUGGCGAUACACUGCCAGCGGCCAAGCGCAAGCGAUAAGUCAUCCACCUGGGGAGUACGCCGGCAACGGUGAAACUCAAACGAAUUGACGG